rnacentral:rRNA from 1 species
CCUACGGGAGGCAGCAGUCGGGAAUAUUGCGCAAUGGAGGAAACUCUGACGCAGUGACGCCGCGUAUAGGAAGAAGGUCUUCGGAUUGUAAACUAUUGUCGUUAGGGAAGAAAAAGGACAGUACCUAAGGAGGAAGCUCCGGCUAACUACGUGCCAGCAGCCGCGGUAAUACGUAGGGAGCAAGCGUUAUCCGGAUUUAUUGGGUGUAAAGGGUGCGUAGACGGGAUAAUAAGUUAGUUGUGAAAUCCCUCGGCUCAACUGAGGAACUGCAACUAAAACUGUUAUUCUUGAGUGUUGGAGAGGAAAGCGGAAUUCCUAGUGUAGCGGUGAAAUGCGUAGAUAUUAGGAGGAACACCAGUGGCGAAGGCGGCUUUCUGGACAAUAACUGACGUUGAGGCACGAAAGUGUGGGGAGCAAACAGGAUUAGAUACCCUUGUA